rnacentral:misc_RNA from 1 species
CAAUGGCAUUAGAUCCUAAUUAAUUAGUUUGCUUGAAGAACAUUAUCAUUAAUAAGCUCCAAAAGACUUAAUAAUAUUCCACUGCAAAUUUAAAUCAAAUCCCACAUGCAUCCACAUUGCCAAAAAAGCUAUAAUCUAAUAUAUAAUGACCCUAAGAAAUCAAGCAUGCAAAGAUUAUUACUGUACACCCCAUAACCUCUCCUCUCUCUAUUCUUUACUAUUCACAGAUAUAAACAAAAAUCAUAAACCUGCAAGAUAUCAAGAUCCACAAGGUGCUAUAUGACUAUAUCUAACUCAGCUACAGUAAUAUAAUCUCUGAAAUUUUUCAAAUUCCAAAUAACAUAUUUGCAUGAUCACAUAUGCUUCUACCAUCUGCAUAUAUGCUUGUGUUUUGAGCCUCACUCAUCCUCUCCCUAUGUUAGCCUUCUUAUCUAGAAGCAAAAUAUAUGGUUCCUUUGCUCGAAUUCGGUAGACUGUAGCAGCUACUGUCACAGUUUCUAUAUAUAUAAUUUUUGGAUAUCUUUAUUGAUCCUUGAGUGCAGACGAAUGAUCAGAGAUUGAUCGAUCAUAGGAGAAUUCGUUCUUGGAUUUACAUGAAACGUUCACCACUGUUAUCACCUGCAUUACUUCUUUUCAAAUUAAGGUUGGUGCUAGAGCUCAUAAAACCCAUUGAGAAAGAUGACAAAUUAAACGGGCUUUAAACAAAACAUAUACCUUUUACGUUUGCUUUUCAAGACUGUUGAAGUUGAAGGAUUACUGUGCCAGUUCCUCUUCCUCUGGUUGAUGAACCAAUUAUUUAUCUGCUUUAAUUGCAAGCCUGUUUCCUGUACCAACCUUGCCUUAUCUUCCUCCUGAAAAGACAUGAUUAUAUAAGAUUAAAAGAUGUCAUUUACAAAGUCUUCUAAGAAAAGUGAAAGACUUAGAGAGCCAAGACUUUGGCUUAACUACUCCCUCCUCACCCACCAAUGUCUUGUCAGGAUCAAUUUUCACAAACUCUCUGUUUGUUAGUCUGGUGUGUGCCCUCAUGUGCCCGUUUAGCUACAUCGAUCUUGCUGAUUUUUUAAUGGAGGAAAUUUCAUGACUUUUUGACACUAAGAUUGGGAAUUGGUUGUACUAAAUUCUAAGAAAGUGUAUUUUUUUCACUAGUCUCCCGACACACCACAACCAUGGUGGGGUUUCAAUGACUAAAGCUGAUGCUUAGCAGUUAGACAUAUCACAAGGCUAAAGAGCAGCUCCUAAGCAAUGCAAUUGAAGCUAAAAACCUAUCGGAAUACUUACAGUAGGAUAAGGCCACUUGGAAUGUGAUUGCCACCAAGAUUUCAAGACAGAGGUUGUGUCCCCAGGUAGCUUUCCGGCUCGUCUCUUGCGCAAAAUUUCCUCUCUGAUGUCAGCAAUUUUCUCUUUGUAACCCUGCUUUAAAUCAUGCUUCAGUUCAUGCCUGACCCUCUCCAUUAAAGACCUCUCACUUUCUGUUGGAAUAAGGGGACCAAAUCCCAUGGUAUCUGAACCAUCCAAACUUGUAUCAAACAAAUUGGCAUCACUAUCUACUUGGUCUUCAUCAUCAUCAGACAUUGUUGCGCCCGUACCUUCACCUGGAGAAACU